AUCAUUUCUUGGCCUGUUGGCUAAGAUCAACUGUAGUAUCUGUUCUUAUCAGUUUAAUCACUGGUAAACUUAUACUGCCAGGAUCUCUUGAUGAGCUGAAAUCACUUUCACAGAAAGAAAGAAGACUUUGUCACAUAUGAUUGCUACUUCCAGCUGACACUACUUCCGCAUUCCCUAUGGAAGAAGAAGAUCCACC